rnacentral:rRNA from 1 species
AGAAUGAACGCUGGCGGCAUGCCUAACACAUGCAAGUCGAACGAAGCCUUCGGGCUUAGUGGCGCACGGGUGCGUAACGCGUGGGAAUCUACCCUUGGGUUCGGAAUAACAGUUAGAAAUGACUGCUAAUACCGAAUGAUGUCGUAAGACCAAAGAUUUAUCGCCCAGGGAUGAGCCCGCGUAGGAUUAGCUAGUUGGUGAGGUAAAAGCUCACCAAGGCGACGAUCCUUAGCUGGUCUGAGAGGAUGAUCAGCCACACUGGGACUGAGACACGGCCCAGACUCCUACGGGAGGCAGCAGUGGGGAAUAUUGGACAAUGGGCGAAAGCCUGAUCCAGCAAUGCCGCGUGAGUGAUGAAGGCCUUAGGGUUGUAAAGCUCUUUACCCGGGAUGAUAAUGACAGUACCGGAGAUAAGCUCGGCUAACUCCGUGCCAGCAGCCGC